rnacentral:rRNA from 1 species
CACGUAGGGGGCGAGCGUUGUCCGGAUUUAUUGGGCGUAAAGAGCUCGUAGGCGGUUUCGUAAGUCGGAUGUGAAAGCUCCAGGCUCAACUUGGAGACGCCAUUCGAUACUGCGAUGACUUGAGUCCGGUAGGGGAGGUGUGGAAUUCCUGGUGUAGCGGUGAAAUGCGUAGAUAUCUGGAGGAACACCGGUGGCGAAGGCGGCAUCCUGGACCGGCAUUGACGCUGAGGCGCGAAAGCCCAGGGGAGCAAAGCGGGGAUUAAGAAACCC